rnacentral:rRNA from 1 species
UACGUAGGGUGCGAGCGUUAAUCGGAAUUACUGGGCGUAAAGCGUGCGCAGGCGGUUUUGUAAGCCAGAUGUGAAAUCCCCGGGCUUAACCUGGGAGUGGCAUUUGGGACUGCAAGGCUGGAGUGCGGCAGAGGAGACUGGAAUUCCUGGUGUAGCAGUGAAAUGCGUAGAUAUCAGGAGGAACACCGAUGGCGAAGGCAGGUCUCUGGGCUGACACUGACGCUCAUGCACGAAAGCGUGGGGAGCAAACAGG